rfam:Haemonchus contortus, ISE/inbred ISE, WGS project CAVP01000000 data, contig: Hcontortus_16610
AACACAAACUUGAAGUAAAAUAGAUGGGUAAGGUCAGCCGAUCCUACUAAUCUACUCUACUUCAAGUUUGUGCUC